rnacentral:lncRNA from 1 species
AGAGGACAAGAAGAAGAAAUCAUGACUACAACACAAAUUUUUGUCAUUUUGAGCUAUUUGAUUUUCGUCUUUGCAUCACUAGGUGAGUAAUUGCAUCUAUAACCAAAGCUCAUAAUUUAUUUAUUCUAUAAUGCAAGUGCUUAAUCCUGCAUACAAACAUUUUUAUACCUGAUGAGGAUAUUAUUUAUUGCUUUUUCCGUUAUAUUUUAGGAUCAAGAGUUGUAAGGACGAGAACAUAUGCAUUGUUUAUACAGGAAAUUCAAAGCUUUAUUGAUUAUAAAUUAAUUACGAACCUAUUGUAUUGUAAAAAAAAAGUAAAAAUAGCACGGGCUAGCCAGUUUUUGGACUGGUAAUUGAAAAAUAACCAGUGUUUACAAAGUCAUUGAAAAAUAGCCACUAUUUUGCUGCAACACGGACCGGUCCAGCAUAAUAUACUGAAGAUUGGUGCACAUGUGUAUGAACUUCCAUCAUAUUAUGCUGGAACUCCAACACGCGAAAAGUUCCAGCAUAAUAUACUGGAGAUUGGAGCACCUGUGUAUGAACUUCAAACAUAUUAUGAUGGAUCAGUAUAUUAUACUGGAACUCCAAUAUAUUAUGCUAGAGUUCCAGUAUAACUCCAGGUUCAAGUAUAUCAUACUGGAACUCCAGUAUAUUGUGCUGGAAUAUUUUUCGGAUUUUGAACAGUGUUUUUGUUCAGAUUUAUCUUUACAUGAAAAGUGGCUAAAUUUCGAUUACUUUUGAAACUGUGACUAUUUUUCAAUUAUCACUUUUAAAUCUGGCUAUUUUUGAAUUUUUCCCAAAAAAAAAACUAUCACUUUUAAAAGGUAGAACCGAGAACGGAGGACCAACACAAAUGAAAAUGGUAGCAAAAAAAAGACUUAAAAUUUAUGAUAGCGUUUAGUUUCCUCAUUAUCCAUAUAUAGAUAAAUAAAAGCGACCUUUAAGUAUACGUUUUGUGCUUGUCAUUUAUACUAAAAUUUAAAUUCUUUACCCAAAUGGAUUGUUAUUUAUAUUAAAAUUUUUAUAUUAAGAGUUACUGUGUUUUAUACGAAGAAAAAUGACUUCCAGAAAAUAUUUUUCAUGACUAAGUUAUUUACUGGUGUUUCGUAUAACAAAAGUACGAAAAUAUUUACCACUCACCGACAAGACUCCAGGAAACAAAAUUAUUUUCCACGAAAUCUAUUUUUUAAAGCACAUGACUUCGGCCGUAUCAAACACGUAUAAAGGUAAUUUUCUUGUCCUGGUAACUACUGAUUACAAAUUUUUGAAUUCGUCAGACAAAAUAUAUUUGCAAAUAAAAUAAAUAAGUAAAUAAAAUUUUGAGGUAGAAAAAAAAAGGGUGUUUUAGUUUGUUAAUUUUCUUUGUUUUUGGACGCAGAUUUGACAGAAGCUCACGACUGGGAAUUGGUAACUACUGGUAAUAAUGAUUAUGGAUGGUGUUUUAGUGAUAAUAAUUGUUAUAGUUACUGUGUAAGACGUUAUCAACAAACUUUUACUGUGAGUGGUAAGUGUGGGGAUUGGUUUAAAUGUUUAUGCACCUAUUGGACUCAAGGAAAAUGGUAAUUAUAUGAACAUUCAUUAUCAAUGUAAGUUGUAAUUAAUAACAGCAGGUUAUUAAUUACUUUAAUUUUCAAGUUAUUAUAUUAGGUUUGCUGGGAGAAUUAAUUGUUGUCAGGAUCGUAUGUAAACUUGAUAUAAUAAUAUUAAAA